rnacentral:rRNA from 1 species
UACGUAGGGUGCGAGCGUUAAUCGGAAUUACUGGGCGUAAAGCGUGCGCAGGCGGUGACCCAAGUCAGAUGUGAAAUCCCCGGGCUUAACCUGGGAAUGGCGCUUGUGACUGCAAAGCUGGAGUGCGGCAGAGGGGGAUGGAAUUCCGCGUGUAGCAGUGAAAUGCGUAGAUAUGCGGAGGAACACCAAUGGCGAAGGCAAUCCCCUGGGCCUGCACUGACGCUCAUGCACGAAAGCGUGGGGAGCAAACAGGAUUAGAAACCCGAGUAGU